CAGCGUGGUGGUGGUAAACAGCUGACUGACGCCGCCUGCCUCGCUCUCCCAGUCCAGCAAGUCUCUGUUCAAAGUGUAGCGUGUGUCUCUCUCUCACUCCGGGACUAUUUUAACCAGGAAAUAAGGCUCUAUUUUAAGGAUGGCUGAGUGCAUGAUGCUGCUGAGUGCGAGAGACCGCUGGUGUAACGAGAAGCUAGAGUUUGUGUGUGCUGUGGUGGAGGGCGUGGACCGGGCGAGUCUCAGAGCCCAGCUGGAGUCGUGCGAGACGGAGGAAGAUGCCGAGGGUCUCAUGCACAGUCUCUUGUGGCUCCAGGACUGUCACAACGCUCAGAUGGCCGCCUUCCAGUAUGACGAAGAGCCACAACAAUCACUACAAUCACAGCCAGAUGAUGCAGCCACGGAGGAACCCAAUCUCUUAUCAGUAUUUGAUGGGUUAGAUUUAACAGAGGACGACAACGACUUGAGAAACGACCCCACACACGACCCCCAACUACAGUUUGUACGUAUCAGGCAGCAGGAGGGGCAACAGCAGAACGAUGCGCCCGUGACACAGAUCCUCCUGACGCAGCAGCAAAUCACCACCCCGAGGCAGUACCCACGACUCCCCCUCCAUGACCCAGACUACCCUGAGGUGUGGGGGGAGUGUGAGGACCUCAACGAGUACCUGGAGGAUGAGAACCACUCCCUACUUUAUCCUCACAACCCAAACAAUCCUCUCCAACUUCUGCAGGAACGACACGAAGACGUUCCGCAGGAAGAAGACGAGGAGGAGGAAGAAAAAGGCGCAGUAGCUGCAGUACCAGCAGCAGCAGAAGACAUCACAGCAGCAGAAGACAUCACAGCAGCAGAAGACAUCACAGCAGCAGAAGACAUCACAGCACAUAUAAUACCAGCAGCAGAAGACAUCACAGCACACACAAUACCAGCAGCGUCGAAAGAGGAGGACACGGCGAAUGACCAACUAGUGGCACAGCUACUAGCAGACGAGGAGGAGGAACAACUUGUCGGUGAGGAGACGACGGGGGACGAGCAGCUAGCGAGGGAACUGGCGGAGGAACUAGCACAGGAGGAGGCGGAGGGAGAGGAGACGGAGGAGGAAAAGGCAGCAACUGACGUCGCUAUCCUCAUGAACAUGUUUCCUGACGCCGAGCCGGAGUACCUGCAGGAGAGGAGUGUGGAGGUGAAAGGGGAGGAAGAGGCUUUUGGUGAGCUGGUCGAGGAACUACUUCAGCUCAAGACAACAGAGCCAAGGAUGAGCGGGUACCUCAAGCGUCAGAAGACACACUCCUCCAACAGCCCUGAGGAGGACAUACCUGCGCCUCUCUUUGACCCCAGCAAGGACGUGACAGCCAACGAGCUCCACGAGUGCUCCAUCUGUUACGAGGAGGAGGUGCUGGAGAAGAACAUGGCCACCUGCAAUGCCUACACCAACUACCACAAGUUCUGCAUCGACUGUAUCAGGAAGCACGUAGCAGCACAGAUAGGCCAGGGACACUCCUCCUUCAAGUGCAUGAAUGGUUACUGUAAAUGUGAGUUCUCUUGGAGGACACUGAAGAGGGUGAUGGAGCCUGUAGUGUUCCAUAAGAUACAGGAGAGAAAGCAACAGGACGAGAUAAUGAGAGCGGGUAUUGAGAACCUCACGGCCUGCCCCUUCUGUAACUUCAUGAUCAUUAUGCCCAACGAGGAUGACAAAGUACUCGAUUGCCUAAAUCCCGAGUGCCUCAAGGAAUCCUGCAGGCUGUGUAAGGAGGUGUCACAUGUGCCGCUCCGCUGUGAGGAGGUGGAGAGAGAGACACAGAAGGAUGCUCGUGUGGUGCUGGAGAACCAGAUGGCUGAGGCUAUGAUCAGUUGUUCUCCUGCUUUAGUGCUGGGUUGCUAGACAGGUGUUAGCUGGUUGCCCCAUUCUUAAGCAAUAAGUCAGUGGGUUCCUCCAUCACCUUGGCCAGAUGCUAGACCACCCAAGGGUUGUUCCACCAUAGCCAUGUACACCUAAUAGUGAAGUGAAGGAAUGUCCGUACUGCAAGAAGAGAUUCAUCAAGGAGGCCGGCUGCAACAAGAUGAUGUGUUCCUGUGGCACCGCC
rnacentral:misc_RNA from 1 species